rnacentral:tRNA from 1 species
UGAUGCUUAGAGGUUAAAGCAUCUGCCUGCAAUGUGGGAGACCCAGGUUCGAUCCCUGGGUCAG